GGAUUAGAUACCCUAUUAUAAAAAUUUAAAUUAAUUUACUAAAAAAUUAAUAGUUAAGUUCUUUAAAUUUAAAAAAUUUGGCGGUAUUUUAGUCUUAUUAGAGGAACCUGUUUAUUAAUUGAUAAUCCACGAUUAAUUUUACUUAUUUAAUUAAUUCAUAUAUCGCUGUCAUGAAUAUAUUUAAAAAUUUAUUUUCUUUUUUUAUUUUUAUAAUUUAUGUUAAGUCAAGAUGUGGUUUAUAAAUAAGAAUAUAAUGGGUUACAAUAAAUUUUAUUUUUGGAUUUAAAAUGAAAAUUAAAAUGAAAUUGGAUUUAAUAGUAAGUUUAUUUA
rnacentral:rRNA from 1 species